AGCGAACGCUGGCGGCAGGCCUAACACAUGCAAGUCGAACGAAGUCUUCGGACUUAGUGGCGGACGGGUGAGUGACACGUGGGAACGUGCCCUUUGGUACGGAAUAACUCAGGGAAACUUGAGCUAAUACCGUAUGUGCCCUUCGGGGGAAAGAUUUAUCGCCAUUGGAGCGGCCCGCGUCUGAUUAGCUAGUUGGUGAGGUAAAGGCUCACCAAGGUGACGAUCAGUAGCUGGUCGGAGAGGAUGAUCAGCAACAUUGGGACUGAGACACGGCCCAAACUCCUACGGGAGGCAGCGGUGGGGAAUCUUGCGCAAUGGGCGAAAGCCUGACGCAGCCAUGCCGCGUGAAUGAUGAAGGUCUUAGGAUUGUAAAAUUCUUUCACCGGGGACGAUAAUGACGGUACCCGGAGAAGAAGCCCCGGCUAACUUCGUGCCAGCCGCCGCAGUAAAAC
rnacentral:rRNA from 1 species